AAGACCUGGGGGUACGUAUGUACGUAGUAGCCCCGAUGAUGCGUGUGUUACAUAGAGAGGAGUCGUCGUCGGUUUUCCGCACCCAUGCACGGAAGCGGUGACAAAUGGAUAGUUUUUUUUUUGUUUCGCUGUUUUGACAGUGUCAAGCGUGUUGUAUCUUAAACAUAUGUUCAAGAUUUGGCUUGGGUGGAAUGCUGGGAUUUGGGACUGCAACGUCUCAUUAGUUUUUACGUUCCUUCUACAACGGGCUGUCCAUCAAAGAAGGGAAUCUCGAUCUGCGUGCCCGUAGUGUGCAGCUAACUUCUCCCGUGCAUGCAUCAACUCCUCAACUCCCGAUGCUAACCUGUGCGAUCGCCUACCUGUCAGCUGCGUUGCAUACACCUUGGUUACCUUGGCGUCGGCUACCAGAGUGCAAAAGAACAUUGAAACUGUUGCCGCCAUAGUAAUUGCUGCCCCAACACUCGUUAGAACUUACUUCCGAGCAGACCAGCGAUUUCAGUGGCCACUUUCUCCAGCGACUGCCGUGUUUCUAUUCGCACGCUUAAGAAAUUGAAUCGUUAAACACGCACGCCCUGAAAACUGCGGAAAAUGGAUAGCGAAUUUUAUUUAUCAACGCUUAUGCAAGGCCGGUUGGAGGUGGCGAUGGACGGCAUUUGUCGUUUGGAGGAAAUGCAUGACUUCGAGCAAUGUACCCAAUUUUGUCAAACCGCCCUUUUUCUGAACCAGGAGCUACAGUUCCGCAUUGACCACGAGAUACCAAUUGCUGACUUUAGCAAACAGAUAGACAAGUUCGCAAGUAGCGUUAUGAAGCGGGUGGCCGUGUUUGAGAAGCACAACAGCAGCAAGUCGCAAAAUACUGCUCGAUACUCAAAGCCUCGUAAAUAAUAUCUCCCCUACAGCAGUCGAAUGUAGGGCUACGAAUUAGA